GCCGGGCGCGGUGGCGCACACCUGUAAUCCCAUAGACUCAGGAGGCUGAGACAGGAGGAUUUGCGAGUUCAAAGCCAGCCUCAGCAACUUGGCGAGCCACUUAGCAACUCAGCGAGACCCUGCCUCUA
rnacentral:sRNA from 1 species